rnacentral:rRNA from 1 species
AUUGAACGCUGGCGGCAGGCCUAACACAUGCAAGUCGAGCGGAUGAAGGGAGCUUGCUCCUGGAUUCAGCGGCGGACGGGUGAGUAAUGCCUAGGAAUCUGCCUGGUAGUGGGGGGUAACGUCCGGAAACGGGCGCUAAUACCGCAUACGUCCUGAGGGAGAAAGUGGGGGAUCUUCGGACCUCACGCUAUCAGAUGAGCCUAGGUCGGAUUAGCUAGUUGGUGGGGUAAAGGCCUACCAAGGCGACGAUCCGUAACUGGUCUGAGAGGAUGAUCAGUCACACUGGAACUGAGACACGGUCCAGCCUCCUACGGGAGGCAGCAGUGGGGAAUAUUGGACAAUGGGCGAAAGCCUGAUCCAGCCAUGCCGCGUGUGUGAAGAAGGUCUUCGGAUUGUAAAGCACUUUAAGUUGGGAGGAAGGGCAGUAAGUUAAUACCUUGCUGUUUUGACGUUACCAACAGAAUAAGCACCGGCUAACUUCGU